rnacentral:rRNA from 1 species
UGGCAAAGUUGGCAUGUGAUAUGGUGAAUGGAUCCGGUGAAUGGUUCAGCAAGUCUUCAAAAAAGAAUAUAUACGAUUGCAUUGCAUAUACUAACGGAUGCGAUCAUACCAGCACUAAUGCACCGGAUCCCAUCAGAACUCCGCAGUUAAGCGUGCUUGGGCGAGAGUAGUACUAGGAUGGGUGACCUCCCGGGAAGUCCUCGUGUUGCAUCCCUCUUUUAUGUUUAACCUUUUUUUUUUGGUUAAAACUUUAUGACUCUAUAACUUGUAGACCG